rnacentral:rRNA from 1 species
GACGAACGCUGGCGGCGUGGAUUAGGCAUGCAAGUCGAACGGUAUCAUCCUUUCGGGGGUGAGAGAGUGGCGAACUGGUGAGUAACACGUAGGUUAUCUACCCUCAAGACGGGGACAACCCAGGGAAACUUGGGCUAAUACCGGAUGUGAGCAACUUUUAGUUGUUUGAAAGGUGGCGUAAGCUGUCGCUUGGGGAUGAGCCUGCGUCCUAUUAGUUAGUUGGUGAGGUAACGGCUCACCUAGGCAAUGAUAGGUAGGCGGCCUUAACGGGUGGUCGCCCACACUGGGAUUGAGAUACGGCCCAGACUCCUACGGGAGGCAGCAGUCGAGAAUAGUCUACAAUGGUCGGAAGACUGAUAGUGCGACGCCGCGUGAACGAUGAAUCCCUUCGGGUGUAAAGUUCUUUUAUAUGUGAGCAGUGCUUCUUAUAUUAACAGUAUGGGGAGAGAGAUAUUAGCAUAUGAAUAAGCAACGGCUAACUCCGUGCCAGCAGCCGCGGUAAUCA